CAGGCUUAACACAUGCAAGUCGAGCGGGCGUAGCAAUACGUCAGCGGCAGACGGGUGAGUAACGCGUGGGAACGUACCUUUUGGUUCGGAAUAACACGAGGAAACUUGUGCUAAUACCGGAUAAGCCCUUACGGGGAAAGUUUUAAUGCCAAAAGAUGAGCCCGCACUUGAUUAGCUAGUUGGUAAGGUAAUGGCUUACCAAGGCAACGAUCAAUAGCUGUUCUUAGAGGAAGACCAGCCACACUGGGACUGAGAUACGGCCCAGACUCC
rnacentral:rRNA from 1 species